CUGCGAGUGUCUAGAUUAGACAGACGGAUUGUCUGAUUCAGUUUCGUGUUAGUGUGAUUCUUUUUAAAGGAAAUUUGUGACGGCUUGUCUUAGCGUCAAUGAAUGUGUAGCCAAUUCAAUUUUACUAGCGCAUCAUCUAAUAAUAUUGCAAAUAAGAGCUAGAGAAGCAAAUCAUAGAAAGAAUCAUCUAUAAUAUGGCAAUGUGGAAAGCUGACGUUUAUGAGGACCUGCAUCUGUACAUAACACCUGAGAAAUUCUAUAUCGAGCCUGUGGAUACCAAAGUUUUAUUGGUAGUCGAUAGAGCUAGUCAGCAAAUUUAUACUCAAGCUGGUACUGCCAGUCAAAUACCACAGACUGCAAGUAGACGUAAAAUAUGGGGUAUCGUUGGUACUAUACGCCUGUUGGCAUGUCAGUACUUAAUAGUAAUUACAGACGCAGAGAGUGUAGGGACAAUAGCUGGGGAAAGAAUAUACAGAAUAGUUUCAACCGAUAUAAUACCUUAUGCAAGGUCUUUUGUUCACUUGAGUGAAAAACAAAUUGAAAAUAAUACCACCUAUUUGGAAAUGAUUAAAACUGUACUGAACACUCCAUACUUCUACUUCAGUUAUACAUAUGAUCUGAGUCAUACGAUGCAACGACUUCAUAAUACGACUCCAGAGUUUUUGCAGAUGCCAUUACAUGAUCGGGCAGAUCCACGAUUUGUCUGGAAUGCCUAUCUCCUUCAAGAAUUAACAGCGCGAUCUGAACAAUAUAAGUUCUGCCUGCCAAUUAUACACGGCUUCGUAUCAUUGAAAACUGCGGUAAUCAAUGGUGUAGCUUUCAACUGGGGUGUUGUUUCAAGACGUAGUGUGCAUCGUGCAGGCACAAGACUAUUUUCACGAGGAAUAGACUCAAACGGUAACGUGUCAAAUUACGUGGAGACGGAACAGCUUAUCGAGGUAGAUGGCGAUCGGAGUUCUUUUGUACAGACCAGAGGCUCAAUUCCUUUGUUCUGGCAGCAAGCUCCAAAUCUAAAGUAUAAACCAAAGCCUCAGCUAAGUCCGCACGAAGAUCAUCAAACAGCAUGCGCACGUCAUUUUGACGCACAAAUCUUUCACUACGGGAAGCAGAUUCUAGUGAACCUGAUCGAUCACAGUGGGCCUGAAGAUGUUCUGGAAAAGGCUUACCGCGACAUGGUGUAUCGAAUAGGAAAUCAAAAUGUCAGAUACGAGUCAUUUGACUUUCACGCCGAGUGCCGUAAAAUGCGUUGGGAUCGUCUAAACGUCCUGAUGGAUAGAUUGGCUCACGAUCAGGAACAAAUGGGUUACUUUCUUCUGUCACGAGACGGAGCUCUAUUGUCAGCUCAGGAUGGUGUUUUCCGGACAAAUUGUAUCGACUGUCUUGAUCGUACAAAUGUCGUUCAAAGUAUGUUAGCUAAAAGGGCACUAAGUGAUGCUCUUAAUCGACUUGGAGUCUUGCGGAAGGUCGAAGAGCAUCCCUCUCUGGAGUAUGUCUUUAAACAGGUCUGGGCUGAUAACGCGGAUGUGAUAAGCGUUCAAUAUUCCGGUACUGGCGCCUUGAAGACAGACUUCACAAGAACAGGAAAGCGAACCAAGCUGGGCGCCAUGAAGGACGGAAUAAAUUCAUUGACAAGAUAUUAUAAAAAUAAUUUCGCGGAUGGUUACAGACAGGAUGCUCUGGAGCUCUUCCUGGGUAGAUAUAUCAUCCAACAUGGAGAAUGUCUGACUCACAAGUGUCCAUUAGAAACUGAACGCAACUGGCGUUACGCAACCUUCCCUCUAGUUCUACUAAUUGCGUCAUCAAUGCUAGUAGCCCACGUAAUUCUACCCUCUAGAUACACCACCGAAGUAUUACUAUACAUGUUAUUUUGGGGUGGUAUGGUAGCUGGCACAUUUGCAACCAUCAUUCAUCAUGGAAAACAAUACGUGGACAAGCCGAAACUAUUAUAGUUGAAGAAAUUGGCAGAUUGCUCUGAGCAUUUUAAUCGACGUCACUCAAAUGCGACGCCAUCUUCCACCGAAUACAGAACAUUAUCUGCCAGAAUUUCGUAUCGUCCUUAAAAUCCUAGAGCAUAAUGUCCAAUGAAAUCUAUUCCUGGGGAAGCUAGUCUUUGUACCGAUUUUUCGUAAUGAACUUUACAUUUCUUACGGAUAUUUACUAUUCCAAUCAAUCACUGCACGAGUAGCUAUCCCUGGUGUUAGGAUAAUCGUUAAAGAACGUCGAAAACUAAUCAUGUAGGUACACAAAAAUUUCAUUAAUAAUAGAAGAGAUCAAUCGAUCAAUUCAGAGAUCGAUAAGCAAAUACGAGUAUUUCGUACGUGAUAACGUACCUCUUCAAUCUCAGCAACGCAUGCGGAAUCCUUUUCUGUGAACUACUUGGCACCAGUGUGGCAGAUUUCUUGACGUCACUUGAAAAAUUGAGAGGAAACUCUAGACAAAUAGAAUUACGAGUACCGCACCCAUAGAAAACUAACGUAAUGGAUGAGUAACGUUUUUCAUUAUAUUCCAAAGCUUUUGUUUUAUCGACUGACAAGAGAAUUCACGCGAUAAAGAUAAAGAAACUUUCAUCAGUUUUCAUCUAUUCAGCGAAUCGUUCAUGUCCUGUUAUUCAAAAGUCUCUGGUCACAAAACGCUUUCAAGAGACGCAACGCGGCUUUCCGCAGCUUCUGAGCCUUUGACAAACGGCUCCACGUAAUUGGAUUCGUUUUAUAAAGUUCCGAUGAAACGUGGAGCUUCCGCUGCCAUUAAUUGGAGAUAGGAUCCGGGCGGUUCGUACAGGGGUGCAGCGGGAGAACGGCGAGUGAUUAAUUUGAUUCAAUUACAAGCCAGAGCAAAUCCGGGGCAUCGAUUUUAUAACCGUCCCAAGUGUGCCGCGCGCAAUCUUUCUGCUUCCUGGAAAUAUUCCGUAUCUAUCCUUACGUUUUCUACAAGACCAAGGCCACUGUCAAACAGUAUACAUAUAUACUAGAAUGUCUUAUGCUCACUGUAUUGUUUUCACAGGGAAUUGUCAGAUGGCGUCAGUCAUUCAAUUCUCGCUAUUGGAUAAAGUAAUAAUGUGAAUUUCA